GCGCAUCUGUGCAUGCAGCAUAUCAAUAAGCGGAGGAAAAGAAACUAACAAGGAUUCCCCUAGUAACGGCGAGUGAAGCGGGAAGAGCUCUAAUUUGAAAUCUUAAAGGGUUUCCCUUUACGAAUUGUAGUUUAAAGAAGUGUUUUCUGUUGAGGUUUUGGUAAAAGUUCUUUGGAAUAGGACAUCAUAGAGGGUGAGAAUCCCGUAUUUGACCUUUACUUUCAACUUUGUGAUACACUUUCAAAGAGUCGGAUUGUUUGGGAAUGCGGUCCAAAAUGGGUGGUAAAUUUCAUCUAAAGCUAAAUUAUUGGCGAGAGACCGAUAGCGAACAAGUACCGUGAGGGAAAGAUGAAAAGAACUUUGAAAAGAGAGUUAAACAGUACGUGAAAUUGUCAAAAGGGAAGCGUUUGACACCAGUGUUGUUUUUCUGAAAAUCAAUUAAAGAACUGUUUAUGCUAAGCUGUUUAGACUUUAUCAGCUAAUCUGUUUAGUUUUGAGCUCUUCUUUAAUGCACUUUUCAGUUAACAAGUCAACAUCAAUUUCUUUUGCUGUAAAAAAGCUUGAGGAAGGUGGCUUGAGAUUCGUCUUAAGUGUUUAUAGCCUCUUGCCUAUGCAGUCGGAGAGAUUGAGGUCUGCAGCGUAGAUCCUUCGGGGCUAAAUGCAUUUGUGCUAAGUUAUAACAUUUUAUAGACAACUUGUUGACUAUGAUUUGUCUUGUAGCUUACUCGCUUAUGUUAUUUUACCUACGCUUAGGAUGUUGAACGCGCACAGAGUCUC
rnacentral:rRNA from 1 species